GUGAGGUAACGGCUCACCAAGGCAUCGACGGGUAGCUGGUCUGAGAGGACGAUCAGCCACACUGGGACUGAGACACGGCCCAGACUCCUACGGGAGGCAGCAGUAGGGAAUCUUGCGCAAUGGGCGAAAGCCUGACGCAGCAACGCCGCGUGGGGGAUGAAGGCCUUCGGGUCGUAAACCCCUUUCAGCAGGGACGAAAAUGACGGUACCUGCAGAAGAAGGUCCGGCCAACUACGUGCCAGCAGCCGCGGUAAUACGUAGGGACCAAGCGUUGUCCGGAAUUAUUGGGCGUAAAGAGCUCGUAGGCGGUUCGGUAAGUCGGGUGUGAAAAUCCAGGGCUCAACCCUGGGACGCCACCCGAUACUGCUGUGACUAGAGUCCGGUAGAGGAGCGUGGAAUUCCUGGUGUAGCGGUGAAAUGCGCAGAUAUCAGGAGGAACACCAGCGGCGAAGGCGGCGCUCUGGGCCGGUACUGACGCUGAGGAGCGAAAGCAUGGGGAGCAAACAGGAUUAGAUACCCUGGUAGUCCAUGCCGUAAACGUUGGGCACUAGGUAUGGGACCUUAUCAACGGGUUCCGUGCCGUAGCUAACGCAUUAAGUG
rnacentral:rRNA from 1 species